GACGAACGCUGGCGGCGUGCUUAACACAUGCAAGUCGAACGAGACGAUUGAAAGCUUGCUUUCGAAAGUCGAGUGGCAAACGGGUGAGUAACGCGUAGACAACCUGCCUUUGAGAUGGGGACAACAGUUCGAAAGGACUGCUAAUACCGAAUGUUGUAUAUUUUCCACAUGGAAGAUAUAUUAAAGAUGGCCUCUAUUUAUAAGCUAUCGCUCAAAGAUGGGUCUGCGUCUGAUUAGCUAGUUGGUGGGGUAACGGCCUACCAAGGCGACGAUCAGUAGCCGGUCUGAGAGGAGGAACGGGCACAUUGGGACUGAGACACGGCCCAGACUCCUACGGGAGGCAGCAGUGGGGAAUCUUCCACAAUGGACGAAAGUCUGAUGGAGCAACGCCGCGUGAGUGAAGAAGGGUUUCGGCUCGUAAAGCUCUGUUGUCGGGGACGAAUGUGCAUUACUUGAAUAAAGUGGUGUAAUGACGGUACCUGACGAGGAAGCCACGGCUAACUACGUGCCAGCCGCCGCCGUAA
rnacentral:rRNA from 1 species